rnacentral:rRNA from 1 species
GAUCAUGGCUCAGAUUGAACGCUGGCGGCAUGCCUUACACAUGCAAGUCGAACGGUAACAGGUCUUCGGAUGCUGACGAGUGGCGAACGGGUGAGUAAUACAUCGGAACGUGCCCGAUCGUGGGGGAUAACGAAGCGAAAGCUUUGCUAAUACCGCAUAAGAUCUACGGAUGAAAGCAGGGGACCACAAGGCCUUGCGCGAACGGAGCGGCCGAUGGCAGAUUAGGUAGUUGGUGGG